CGGCUCUGGCCCCGGAAGGCGCGGCUGCACGGUGCACACUAGCAGGAAGGAAGUGGGACAGAGUCGGACCCUCAAUAAAGACAGACAGACGGGCGCUGCCGGCUGUUCUUGGCAUUCGCGGGUGUCGGUGCCCGCGCGUGGGGACGCGGUAGCCACGAGGCGUGCGGGCGGCUCGCGCGGGCACCAAGCCUUGAGGACAGGAAGCAGCGACGCCGGUAGCGUUUCCAUUCCUCCCCGCCUUUGUUUGCCUUCAGACUGAAAGUGGACUGCAGCCCAGCUGUGGGAGAGUUAACACAAGAAAACUCACUGCAGGCUGAGCGUCCUAGUCCGAAAAUCCCCAGUCCGGAAUGUCCAGCGUCGAGGCCCGCUGAGCGCUGACCGGUGCCUCCCACGGGAAAUCCACACCUGCCUCCCUUGCAGGGGCCGCAGAUGUCACCGCCCCGGAAGCGGCGGCACGGUUUCUCCCGCUGCGCACACGGGGCACGCGGCGCGGGUAAAGCUUCCGUGGCUAGAGUUUGAAGGGGCUGAGAAGUGGGGAGAGAAAGAAGUCCGUCGUCUUGUCCAGUGGCGACAAGACCUGACAUGGCCCUUGUCCCGUCUGUGGUGUCACCUCAGUGCUGAGUUUGCUGACACCUCCCUGUCAGAGGGGACACACCUUCCACACGCCUGUGCUGGCGCUCCACACCUAGACGUGGGUCACGUGGGUGUCAUGGUUCAGUAGCUAACACUCACUCUAAAGUCAGUCAUGUUUGAGCAGAGGAGAAAGAAACAUGGAAACAAUGCUACAGCUCAUGUAUAGACUUGGACACAACAGCAGGUGCAUGGAAGGAAUUAAAAAUGUUUUUAAGGACCAGGAAUCAGCCAACCAAAC
rnacentral:lncRNA from 1 species